rnacentral:lncRNA from 1 species
CAGGUCUAAAGAAAUGUGACCCUUGUGAGGCCAGAAAGUAAGGGGAUUAAUCUGUUUAGUAGUAAAUGGAUGCCUUCUGAGAGCCAAGAAUUUUAGCCAAUGGGUUCAUUUUCCAGUUUUAAUGAUGAAAUACAGAUACAGUGAUUGAAGCCACCUUGUGACAUUUUGGGAGCCAACAUCAUUUUUCUUCUCAGAAAGAAAGAAAUACCUAUGCUACUGCUACUCUGCCCACUCCUGCCCCCCACCCUGGUGAAUGUUUUAUUCAUUUAUCAUGCUAGUAAACAUAUCUGUACAGCCUUUAGAUAAAAGUGGAAACAUCAGUCUGUGUAGCUAAUCUUUGCUUUCUUCCUAGUGGGAAAAAUAUAUUUUUUCUCAGUUUUAUCAGCAACAGAACAACUCUGCUUCUCAAUAACUUCCCAGCACUUCUUUCUCUCUACCCUCCUCCUUAAUAAAUAGACUCAGUGUUGAACACAAGGCUUUUACACCUCUAUUAAUCUUGGCAGACAGUGGGGAUGCUGAAACAUGCUGGCUAAAAGGAAAGAAGAUGCCUUUUCAUGUGGCCUUGCAAUGCAAACAUCUUGGCAGUGUUCAGUUCCUCUGUCACAUUGAACUUACAGACAUUCUUACUAGAGUUCCAAUAGCUUUGUUUCC